rfam:Populus trichocarpa scaffold_15_contig_116, whole genome shotgun sequence.
UCUAGAACCCGAGAUGGACUGAACACUGAAUAGUGUCUAGGCUGCAGGACAAAUUCAGACUUCUCUUUUUCUGCUAAGAUUUGGACUCUAAAACCGAAUAAUUGAGUCUUGGACUCUUCAUGAAUGUUUUAAGCCUAUGUCUUAGCUUUUUAGC